UGGGGAAUAUUGCACAAUGGGCGCAAGCCUGAUGCAGCCAUGCCGCGUGUGUGAAGAAGGCCUUCGGGUUGUAAAGCACUUUCAGCGGGGAGGAAGGCGAUAAGGUUAAUAACCUUGUCGAUUGCCGUUACCCGCAGAAGAAGCACCGGCUAACUCCGUGCCAGCAGCCGCGGUAAUACGGAGGGUGCAAGCGUUAAUCGGAAUUACUGGGCGUAAAGCGCACGCAGGCGGUCUGUCAAGUCGGAUGUGAAAUCCCCGGGCUUAACCUGGGAACUGCAUGCGAAACUGGCAGGCUAGAGUCUUGUAGAGGGGGGUAGAAUUCCAGGUGUAGCGGUGAAAUGCGUAGAGAGCUGGAGGAAUACCGGUGGCGAAGGCGGCCCCCUGGACAAAGACUGACGCUCAGGUGCGAAAGCGUGGGGAGCAAACAGG
rnacentral:rRNA from 1 species